GGUGCACGGCGUCGCAUUGUGACCUGCGGCAUUUUCUCGUGUUCGCGCAAUCGGUGUGAAACAUGUCGCAUGUGAAAUAUUUGAUAGAAGUGCCUCACGUCCAAGUCAAGCCGCCGUACGGGUGUAUGGCUGUGUGCCCCGUUCUCGGAAGCGUCGACGGGUUUCCGGCAUGCGGAUUUCAGCGUUUGGACUCGACUUUUGGUGAGGAUGUCGAUCGACCUUGGGCCUGGUGACAGCACACCCGACAUGGCCAAAGUGCAGCCUAUCAGUUGAGUGCCCCCGAAUGGACCAUCAACAUCGGAAAAUGAAACAGAGCCAGGGGGAAAAGGUUCCGGUAACACCAUGCAUUCAGUAUGGUGGCCCAGACGUGUAUGCAAGCAACCUCCUUCAUGUGGACCAAGAACUACUCUGCAGUGUCUCACAGACUUCCAUGCGAAGUCCUCGACAUUCUCGUCUCAGUGGAAUGGCUGCUCAUCUAUCUGCGUGUCCAUCACCAAGACGGCCAGUUGUAAAGCUCCUGUACCCGUUUAAGAAAGCUUAAUGAUUUUUUUAUUUAGUUUUCACGGUUGGCCUUAGAAUCUUAACAUUUUUGAUGUUUCGAACAUUUUACCUGGCACAAAGUGGUGCAAUAACUUUAAACCAGUGUAAUGUAUUUAAGUGAUUCUCACUCUAAUGCCUAUCUGGUUUUGUUAGUGUUUAAGAAAUUUGUAUGUCUGAUGAGGUAACAGCAUUUGAAUUUGUCAUCGUGGCUCGUUUCAAUGAGCUGCUAGGAAAUAAGACGCAAAACUUAUCACACGCCAGUUGUAGCAUUUUGUUUUCAUGACUACAGUAUACACGUUUCAAAAGAUGGAAAGUGGGGAAAAAAGCCUCAAGAACGUAAUCAUCCUAGGAUUGUCAUGUCCUUACAACUCUGCAAUGAUAAUGCCUCAUAGAUCUUGGGAGCCCAUUGGUCACAAUGCCUACAGGUAUACUUGAUAAGAGAAUAGCUUGCACCCAGAUUUGCCACACAGUUGAUGGCUGAUGGCUUUUGUUUGUCGUCUUCAUGUUACUGCUAUGUAUUCAAUAUUCAUUUAGAUGUAAAGAACACUACAGGCACUGAAGUACCAAAUGGCACUUGCAUUUCUGGGGACUAAGUGCCCAGCAUGCCUGUCACAAAACGUGUCCUAGGGGCUACCUUGCCUCUAUAGGUAAAUGGACAUCAGAUGCUCUGUGUACAGUAUAAUCGGUGUAAUCGGUGUACUAAGUCAUUCUUUCACCAAGGCUGGUAAUCAUGCAUACGUAAUGAGAACAGGGCAUUUGUUACACACAAGGGGUCAUGUGUCAAGUUUAAUUAGAUCAGUAAUCUGUGAGAUGGAAUUAUAAAAUGUAUACCUUUUGUUCCUCAGUAGUCUCUUGGAGAGAUGACCAUUUCCGGCAGUUUAGUUUGGACUUUUUAUGUCUAGAUUUGGUGUGCAUAUUGCAACUAUAACUAACAGUCAGUGCUCUGUCCUGCCCAGUUUUUAUGCUGUCUUUGUGAUAUUUGCAAUAUCUUGCAGUUCAGCUGCAAAAUAUUCUCUAUACUAUUAUACAUUGUCUAUGCAAGUAUAUGUCUUUACUAUUACUAGUUUUCAUGUUCAACGUUUGUGCAGUGCUCACUAGUUAUUACUAGCCAUGUUUUGUUCAUACAUGCUCUUGGAUUGUUGCGCGAAGUGACACGGACACAGACUACAA